UUUCCUUCUCGGCCUUUUGACUAAGAUCAAGUAUAGUAUCUGUUCUUAUCAGUUUAAUAUCUGAUACAUCCUCUACCCUUGACUGUAGACUAGGAAUAAUGAUAACAUUAAAGGGUUCUUGUAAAGAUGAAAAAUGCCUAAUACACAGAAGGCCAUUGGAUCAGUCAUAAGCACUUAGUAAGCAUUCAAUACAAUUUAGAUAGCAUUAUUCACUUGAUA
rnacentral:snRNA from 1 species